GAUGAACGCUGGCGGCGUGCCUAAUACAUGCAAGUCGAGCGAACGGACGAGAAGCUUGCUUCUCUGAUGUUAGCGGCGGACGGGUGAGUAACACGUGGCUAACCUACCUAUAAGACUGGGAUAACUUCUGGACACCGUAGCUAAUACCUGAUAAUCUUUUGAACCGCAUGGUUCAACAGUGAAAGACGGUCUUGCUGUCACUUAUAGAUGGAUCCGCACUGCAUUAGCUAGUUGGUAAGGUAACGGCUUACCAAGGCAACGAUGCAUAGCCGACCUGAGAGGGUGAUCGGCCACACUGGAACUGAGACACGGUCCAGACUCCUACGGGAGGCAGCAGUAGGGAAGCUUACGCAAUGGGCGAAAGCCUGACGGAGCAACGCCGCGUGAGUGAUGAAGGUCUUCGGAUCGUAAAACUCUGUUAUUAGGGAAGAACAGAUGUGUAAGUAACUGGGCACAUCGUGACGGUACCGAAUCAGAAAGCCACGGCUAACUACGUG
rnacentral:rRNA from 1 species